AGAGUAUUUGCAGCUAAACAAGCCACCAGGCUGGAGGAUUAGCUGUGUGUGUGCUGGAAGCCUGCUCAAGGAGUGAAGUCCAGGUGCUGUGUUUGAUUGCAAACCACAGACUGGUGCUGUGAAUGCUGUUCACAGAAGUGCUACAGUGGCCUGACACUUGGGAGUGGUGACGAACAUGGCUGCUACUCUGAAACCUGUAAUUGUGAAGAUGACCUCAAAAGAAGACUUGGUCUAGCCUCUACUACAUUCGGAAAACGUUGCAAGAUCUGGAAGGCUAAAGACAUUUCAAUAAAAACAAAAACCCCAUGUAUAUGAGACAAUUGUCAUGCAGAUACUGCUGUCUGGGUCAGAAUGCUAGAGUCUGAAGAAAGCCGAUGACUGACAGAUUUUGACUGCAGAAAUGAACUGGCUGAGAGGAAUGCUGAGUUUCAAGGCUGCAAAAAAUAAAAAAAUGAAGAGAUAAUUAAAGAGCUAGGGCAAGAUAUAAUGCUGUUACACGAGAUUCAAGAAAGAGGGACACACGUCAAGAGUGGACCCCUAAGGGUCCUAACGAUACGUGCCAGAGUGCCAGGAACUAGCAAUAGAGGAAGACUGAAGAUGUAUUGGGUAAACAUGGUGAAAAAUAACAGAACAAAAAUGCUUAAAGAUCAAUGAAAACAUGAAGCUAGUACAAGAUAGAAAACGGUGGAAAGACUUCAUUUGUUACUGGUGCUGUUGAGCUGAGGGAUGGGGAUCAAAGAGAAGAGGAGAAGAUCUCCUUCUUUUGUUCUUCCGGUUCAUUUAAAAUGCAUCCGCUUUCCAAUGGUCAGGACAAGGAAGAUUUUAAAUAAUUCCAGAAAAUGCAUUUAGAAGCAUCUUUAAAAGUAACAUUGACAAUCAAGGAAAUAAAAUAGGAAGGCUACUUUCGCAAAGGGUGAGGAAUAAAAAUACAGAACUUGUCCCUGUGCUCAACUUACAGGUGAACCCUGGAAAAAACCUAGAACCUGAUUUAACACCUAUACCCAUGUAUUCCUAUAGACAUUGUAUGGGAACCUUUCCAUUAGACUUCAAUGGACAUUGGAUCAGGCUGCUAUUGUGUAUAUAUAAAAGCACAGUAGCAGCUUUGCUAAAAUAUGCACUUUGGUUCACCCCCAUAGUUUGUAGCAGAGCUGACCCAUAGGUGAUAACUCUUGGAAACAGGAAUUCUCCCCCUCCAUGUUUGUUUUAAAUGAAAUUGCAUUCAACUACUCCCAUGUCCUGCUCCAAUUCUCGCCUCAGGCCAUGUCUACUAAAAGCAUCACAAGUUGAAAUAUCCGGAUGUCUAGCAUAUGCUCAUUAGGGACAUGAAAUCCUGUCCUGGGGUGCUGAAAAGCAUAAUAUUAUUAAUGAAGAUAUCUGUAGUGGAAACAGAAGAUUCUGAAUUUUUCAAUGUUGAACAUAUGAAAAGGAAAAUAAGACAUUCCAAGACCCACUGGAAACUUACAAGGCAAACAACAGCUUGGAGCAACAACAUUCUCAUUCUCCAAGGCUUUCGUAAAGAAUGCGCAGAUUUCAUUUGAAUAUCUGCUGCAUUUGAAAAUUACUUUUCUAAUAUGAAGGGCAUU